AUCGCUUCUGGGCCUUUUGGCUAAGAUCAAGUGUAGUAUCUUCUUACAUCUAUUCAUUGUUUGGGCCUCAGCUGAGGCAUCCGAUGCUGUGAAAAGUUUCUCUGGACUGCCA
rnacentral:snRNA from 1 species